UUAAAUUGAAGAGUUUGAUCAUGGCUCAGAUUGAACGCUGGCGGCAGGCUUAACACAUGCAAGUCGAACGGUAACAGGAAGCAGCUUGCUGCUU
rnacentral:rRNA from 4 species